rnacentral:lncRNA from 1 species
UCCAUUUAAAAAUGUUUAAAACUGCAAGACUACAGGGAUUUGUAUGAAAUUUCCUUUAAUACGUCAAAGAUUUUGUAGUUCUAGUAUUAUCCAUGAAAGGCAGAAAAUGUGAAACAUAAGCUCUUUCCUCUGUGGGCUGAAUGCCGCUGGCAGCUAAAAUGGAAGGAAUGGACUUCGUUACCCUACAUCUCCAAAACAGCAAUAGUUGCAAAAGUCACAAUAUUGCCUGAAGGUUAUUUCUUAUCUUACCAAAUGCCUAGAGGGGACAGUCAGUCUUUGUUCUCUCACACAUGCGGAAAUACAGUUCAUAUUUCAUCUGGUACAGGAGAGAGAGGUGUAAGAGCUACUCCUCAUUAGCUUCAUUCUUAACAUUGCCUCUUCCUCUUCCAUUUCAAUACAGGAAAGGACUGAAUCUGACUAAGGAGAGCAGAACUAAUUUUUGCUGAACCUUACUUCUGAUGAAUAAACCCAAAACUGCCUUGAACCCUGUCUCUACG